rnacentral:piRNA from 1 species
UGGUCUAUCAUGACUUGGUGGCUGUACUGC